GUGUUGUAUGAAAGGAGAGAAGGUCACUACUCCCCUUGACAAAGUUGGAAGAGGCUCUUGGGCAGAACAAAUACGGUUAAGGCAUUGCCACCGACUUUGUGUUAUAUAACCAUCGUAUUUU